ACGAAAUCAGCAAGGGGGGAAGCCAUAGUUAGGGUUUUCAAGCUUCCAAGCUCCAUAAUCAAGAAGUACGAAACUCGAGGUUAGACAAAGGGAAGAAUAAAGUUGAAGGCUAAGUUGGUGAAUUUGGCUAUAAUUGGUACCGAGUAUUGCAAAGCUACUUCAAGGAUCCUAAAGAAGUCGGAGAUCGUCCACACUAUCAAC